GAUGAACGCUGGCGGCGUGCCUAAUACAUGCAAGUCGAGCGAACAGAUGAGGAGCUUGCUCCUCUGACGUUAGCGGCGGACGGGUGAGUAACACGUGGAUAACCUACCUAUAAGACUGGGAUAACUUCGGGAAACCGGAGCUAAUACCGGAUAAUAUAUUGAACCGCAUGGUUCAAUAGUGAAAGACGGUUCUGCUGUCACUUAUAGAUGGAUCCGCGCCGCAUUAGCUAGUUGGUAAGGUAACGGCUUACCAAGGCGACGAUGCGUAGCCGACCUGAGAGGGUGAUCGGCCACACUGGAACUGAGACACGGUCCAGACUCCUACGGGAGGCAGCAGUAGGGAAUCUUCCGCAAUGGGCGAAAGCCUGACGGAGCAACGCCGCGUGAGUGAUGAAGGUCUUCGGAUCGUAAAACUCUGUUAUUAGGGAAGAACAAAUGUGUAAGUAACUAUGCACGUCUUGACGGUACCUAAUCAGAAAGCCACGGCUAACUACGUG
rnacentral:rRNA from 1 species